GUGAGACUAUUGUUAUUUCUGCAUUUUGCGUGUUCGUCUUGAUAUGUCAGCAAGUGAUUGAGCGUCAUUGCGAUCUGAGCAUAUGGAUUUUUGAGUUCUCGAGUAUUUGCAUUUGUUUUAUUGCCAUAAUUUAAUUCUAAUUCAUUCCUUUAAUUUUUUUAAUAGUUUUUAUUUGGAAUAAAAGAAGCCUUUUACCUUUUAAAAAUUCCGUUUUCCAGCAAAUUCCGAAUCGAGGGAUUCAAGAAGGACAUGGUAUUCAAGGCGAACCCGUUAGCCCUAAGCGUACCUGAACAGGCCUUCGAGUCCUGGCUCCGAGACUCCGGCUACCUCGAAAUCCUCGACCAGCGCACCUCCGACCUCCACCGCCUCUCUGCCGCCGACUGUACUAUCGAGCUCCGUAAUUCCUCCGCCGACUCCACCCCCACUUCCAUUAUAUGUAGCGGCUUCUUCGUAUCACUCUUCUCCCGUAUUUGUACCCUUCUCUCGCUCAUCACUUUCAACCCCUUCUCCAAGCUCGUCGCAGAGGAUUUCUCCGGUGACACGCCUUCUUGGACCCUCGCGUUCUUCGGCUCCUCUGAUUCUUACUCUUUCCCUUCGUCUCCUUCCCAGGCUCGCCUCCGUGUCCAUGAGAAUGUCAAACGGUUUGCUCGCAAUUACGCCUUGCUCUUCGUCGUCUUCUUCGCUUGCUCUCUGUAUCAAUUGCCGCUAGCUCUCGUUGGGUUGAUAUCAUGUUUAUCACUCUGGGAUGUAUUUAAGUUUUGUGCUGAUCGGUGGGAAUUAUAUAAGCACCCUUCUCUCAGACAGACCUUGCUUCACAUUGCCCAAUGUGGCUUAAGGGUGAAACACACAUGAUUACAUAUCUGCCCGCCUACAGGGCAUAGUUCGAAGGCGGCGCUGAAUUGGGAUGUGACCGGUUAAUGGUUUUAAAGGAUACUCAAUAUAAUGCUCUGCCAGAUUAUUGAGUGUAAUAACAGUGAUUCGCCACAAAUAACUUGCAUCUUCACUCCCAAUGUUAUAAUUGGGAGCUGGAUAUUGAAAAUCUCUUCCUUGGAAUUGAAUUUUGUACUGAACAGUUGUAACUCAUUUGAUGGAGGGUUGAGUAGGUUAAUGCCAGCAAUACACUCAAAACUGUGUGAAGCUUUUGGUAUCGUAUGUGAAGUGGAAAUUUGUUUGCCUACCAUGUAUCAGGAAAGUUACAGGGAUUAAAUGCAAUGGUUGUGGCUUUUGAUAGAAAUUUUAGCAGAUUUUGAAUCAAGUUGUGAUGUGUGGUUAAAAUUAAUUGUUGAUUUUGACUUAACUUUUUAGCAACUUUUUAAGAUAUCCCAGACAAUUACUUGAUGUAAUUCCAAAAGCUUUCGACAACUUGGGAAGUUUAUGGGAUUUGAGGCUCCUUCAGUUUUGCACUACAGCAACUGCAAUUAUUCUGUUCUUUUUCAAUGUUCAGUUGGCCCUCGUAUGUGCUAUUGGUGUAAGUUACGCAG